rnacentral:rRNA from 1 species
GGGUCAGUAGGUUGGUCGUGCCACCGGUACGUACUGGUCUCACUGAUUCCUCCUUCCUGAAGAACCGUAAUGCCAUUAAUUUGGUGUUGCGGGGAAACAGGACUGUUACUUUGAAAAAAUUAGAGUGUUUAAAGCAAGCUAACGCUUGAAUACAUUAGCAUGGAAUGAUGAAAUAGGACGAUCGAUCCUAUUUUGUUGGUUUCCAGGAUUGACGUA